GCGGUGGCUGGGUGGUGGCCAGGAGGCCACAGGGCGGUGGAUGAAGCUAGGCCAGCUCACAGCUGCUAAUAUCUCAAUAACACCGAGCCCCUGCCAUCAGUCCAUGCUGAGCAGGGGUCUGCUGAGCCCCGGGAGCGGCCCCAGGCUGGGACAGGUCCCACACCCCUCCCAGUGGCUGCCGGGCAGAGGUUGGGGCCCGGCACAGCCUGAAAUUCAAUGCUGUGACUGCUUCAGCUACUGCUCAUGAACAUCUGCAGGCCUGGGAGAGAUACUCACCCUUUCACUGCACAGAUGAGACCUGCAGACCUUGAUCCUCUCUCAAAAGCGAGAAAAGGACAGACUGACGACACAUAGAAAACAACAUGAAGACACCAAGGUUUACAUCUCUGGGAACUGCUUACUUCUGGAAGGCAGACAUCAGUCACAAAGAACAGCUAUUUUGGAGUUCUAGACCUUCAUCCUAAUACCUACAUUAAGAUUUCCACUUCUGCAUCACAGGAAUCCUAAACCCCUUCAGUGUCCUCCUAAAUGGGAGUCCUGAAGAAGCAGAAAAACACCCGAACCCAGAAUCCCAAGUUAUCUCUGCUAACUGCAAGGAAUGAUCCAAACUUGCAGGGUGAAGAACUGCAGAGAAAGAUAUGCAUGGAUAACAGACUUAGAACAACUCCAGAAGAAAAAUGCUGCUCACAGAGUGCUGGCAUACAUUCAGGUCAGCAAUUUGUCUAAGGUGUGAGAAGAAAGCAUGGCAUCCAUCCAUACCUGUAAUGUGUCCUUCAUGCAGUAGCUCUCACUGGUGUGAAAGUGGCUUUAGAUGUGUGUGAAGUGAUGCAGACGAUUACUUUGCAACUUCCUGUGUAUAUACUUAGGACCAUGACAAAUACAUUUUCA